rnacentral:rRNA from 1 species
UACAGAGGUCCCGAGCGUUGUUCGGAUUCACUGGGCGUAAAGGGUGCGUAGGUGGCAUGAUAAGUUUGAUGUGAAAUCUCCGGGCUCAACCCGGAAAAUGCAUUGAAUACUAUCAGGCUGGAGGUUUGGAGGGGGGACUGGAAUUCUCGGUGUAGCAGUGAAAUGCGCAGAUAUCAGGAGGAACACCGGUGGCGAAGGCGGGUCUCGUGGGCAACAACUGACGCUGAGGAGCGAAAGCGUGGGGAGCGAACAGG